UGAGUUGGUUAUUCAAUCUUGCA
rnacentral:miRNA from 10 species